rnacentral:rRNA from 1 species
UACGUAGGGUCCGAGCGUUAAUCGGAAUUACUGGGCGUAAAGCGUGCGCAGGCGGUUUUGUAAGCCAGAUGUGAAAGCCCCGGGCUUAACCUGGGAAUGGCAUUUGGGACUGCAAGGCUGGAGUACGGCAGAGGGAGGUGGAAUUCCAGGUGUAGCAGUGAAAUGCGUAGAUAUCUGGAGGAACACCGAUGGCGAAGGCAGCCUCCUGGGCUAGUACUGACGCUCAUGCACGAAAGCGUGGGGAGCAAACAGGAAUAGAAACCCGUGGUAGUCCAAGACCGAAUGUACC